rnacentral:misc_RNA from 1 species
ACGAGCGACGCACACGCGCGCCAACGCGUGCAACGUUGUCGCGCAGCCUGAACUAGAGGUGAAGAAGCUGGUUGAAGGAAAUUGUGUUGCAUCGUAUCUGAAAGAGGAUUCAGUGAUGGAUGUUUUUGCAAGUGGAAAGCGAGCGCGCGACGCGGUUGCACCCUUUAUCGGCGGCGAAAAUGCGAUUGCGGGAAAGACAGAUGCGUGGUGACGGGGAAUCCCGACGCCCGGUUCCCAUCGAAUUCCAUGCAAGUUAAAGCCGG